GAGGCCUCCCCGUUCACCUCCCAGAGGCCGCCACUUUCUUCAGGGCUAUCAGAUGAAGGCAGCAACGAAAACACCACAAGACCAACUUCAGGCUGGAGCUGAUGAUGCCACACAGAAAAUAGACUCUACUUAGAAAUGAAACUCAACUAAAGGUAAAAGAUGUCAGGAACAUCUCCAAGAAAGCCAGAGUCAGCCUCUAAACUUUGCAUCAAGAACGCAAUGGCUUCCCUGAGGGCCCAGGGACGCUUGGCAGCUGUGAGGCAGCCCCUUCUCUGCUGUCGAGGAACUGGACACUUCUCCUAUCCCUUCCCACAAGGGGCUUCCUGGAGCUCCUGCAACCCCAGGCAUUAGUUCCAGUGCAGUUCUAGGAUCAGAUCAAUUCACUCGACAACAAGAGAAACAAAUGGAGAUUCCUACACAAAGACUUUCAAGCACAAAGAAAUCCUGCUGCCUGUAAAGUGGAGCUGCCUCAGCUCUUGAUGAACGACAGAAAAUCUCACAUUCCAGGAAUUCAGAUGAAGUGAAGUGCUCUCAUGGGGACCAGGCAUGGUUAUUCCAGUCCACUGCCCUGCAAGCCUCAAGGGAAGCCAACUGCCCUUCAGCAAGUCACACCUGCCUUGGUGGAGGCCUUGAUUGGAAGUGCCACACGCUACAUGUCCAGUCCUGAGCGGGAGAAUCGGUGUAGGGACGUUGUGGGGAUGCCGGCUGUGGCCAGAUCAGGUCCAGCUACAGAAGAAUGAAGACUCCACCUGAGGGCUGGAAAAACAAAACCUCAAGUGUGAGGCAGCCAACCUGUUACCUCGAGGGACUG
rnacentral:lncRNA from 1 species